rnacentral:rRNA from 1 species
AUUGAACGCUGGCGGCAGGCCUAACACAUGCAAGUCGAGCGGAUGAAGGGAGCUUGCUCCUGGAUUCAGCGGCGGACGGGUGAGUAAUGCCUAGGAAUCUGCCUGGUAGUGGGGGAUAACGUCCGGAAACGGGCGCUAAUACCGCAUACGUCCUGAGGGAGAAAGUGGGGGAUCUUCGGACCUCACGCUAUCAGAUGAGCCUAGGUCGGAUUAGCUAGUUGGUGGGGUAAAGGCCUACCAAGGCGACGAUCCGUAACUGGUCUGAGAGGAUGAUCAGUCACACUGGGACUGAGACACGGUCCAGACUCCUACGGGAGGCAGCAGUGGGGAAUAUUGGACGAUGGGCGAAAGCCUGAUCCAGCCAUGCCGCGUGGGUGAAGAAGGUCUUCGGAUUGUAAAGCACUUUAAGUUGGGAGGAAGGGCAGUAAGUUAAUACCUUGCUGUUUUGACGUUACCAACAGAAUAAGCACCGGCUAACUUCGUG